rnacentral:rRNA from 1 species
GACUUGCCGGGCUCCCGCACAAGCGGCUGCACAUCUGGCUUAAUGGGACGCCACGGGAAGACCCUUCCCAAGGCUCGACACACACUGGAAACUGUCCAGAGACGGGCGCCCCCUUGUGGUCGGUGUACAGGUGGUGCAUGGCUGUCGUCAGCUCGUGUCGUGAGAUGUUGGGUUAAGUCCCGCAACGAGCGCAACCCUUGUCCCGUGUUGCCAGCAGGCCCUUGUGGUGCUGGGGACUCACGGGAGACCGCCGGGGUCAACUCGGAGGAAGGUGGGGACGACGUCAAGUCAUCAUGCCCCUUAUGUCUUGGGCUGCACACGUGCUACAAUGGCCGGUACAAUGAGCUGCGAUACCGCAAGGUGGAGCGAAUCUCAAAAAGCCGGUCUCAGUUCGGAUUGGGGUCUGCAACUCGACCCCAUGAAGUCGGAGUCGCUAGUAAUCGCAGAUCAGCAUUGCUGCGGUGAAUACGUUCCCGGGCCUUGUACACACCGCCCGUCACGUCACGAAAGUCGGUAACACCCGAAGCCGGUGGCCCAACCCCUUGUGGGAGGGAGCUGUCGAAGGUGGGACUG